UGUAAAGUACUUUCAGUUGUGAGGAAGGGUGUGUAGUUAAUAACUGCGCAUCUUGACGUUAGCAACAGAAGAAGCACCGGCUAACUCCGUGCCAGCAGCCGCGGUAAUACGGAGGGUGCGAGCGUUAAUCGGAAUUACUGGGCGUAAAGCGCAUGCAGGUGGUUCAUUAAGUCAGAUGUGAAAGCCCGGGGCUCAACCUCGGAACUGCAUUUGAAACUGGUGAACUAGAGUACUGUAGAGGGGGGUAGAAUUUCAGGUGUAGCGGUGAAAUGCGUAGAGAUCUGAAGGAAUACCAGUGGCGAAGGCGGCCCCCUGGACAGAUACUGACACUCAGAUGCGAAAGCGUGGGGAGCAAACAGGAUUAGAUACCCUGGUAGUCCACGCCGUAAACGAUGUCUACUUGGAGGUUGUGGCCUUGAGCCGUGGCUUUCGGAGCUAACGCGUUAAGUAGACCGCCUGGGGAGUACGGUCGCAAGAUUAAAACUCAAAUGAAUUGACGGGGGCCCGCACAAGCGGUGGAGCAUGUGGUUUAAUUCGAUGCAACGCGAAGAACCUUACCUACUCUUGACAUCCAGAGAAGCCAGCGGAGACGCAGGUGUGCCUUCGGGAACUCUGAGACAGGUGCUGCAUGGCUGUCGUCAGCUCGUGUUGUGAAAUGUUGGGUUAAGUCCCGCAACGAGCGCAACCCUUAUCCUUGUUUGCCAGCGAGUCAUGUCGGGAACUCCAGGGAGACUGCCGGUGAUAAACCGGCGGAAGGUGGGGACGACGUCAAGUCAUCAUGGCCCUUACGAGUAGGGCUACACACGUGCUACAAUGGCGCAUACAGAGGGCAGCAAGCUAGCGAUAGUGAGCGAAUCCCAAAAAGUGCGUCGUAGUCCGGAUUGGAGUCUGCAACUCGACUCCAUGAAGUCGGAAUCGCUAGUAAUCGUGAAUCAGAAUGUCACGGUGAAUACGUUCCCGGGCCUUGUACACACCGCCCGU
rnacentral:rRNA from 1 species